UACAGAGGUCCCGAGCGUUGUUCGGAUUUAUUGGGCGUAAAGGGUGCGUAGGCGGCGGAGUAAGUUGGGUGUGAAAUCCCGGGGCUCAACCUCGGAAUGGCAUUCAAUACUGCUUCGCUAGAGUACUGGAGAGGAGGCUGGAAUUUACGGUGUAGCAGUGAAAUGCGUAGAUAUCGUAAGGAAGACCAGUGGCGAAGGCGGGUCUCUGGACAGUUCCUGACGCUGAGGCACGAAGGUCAGGGGAGCAAACGGG
rnacentral:rRNA from 1 species